rnacentral:rRNA from 1 species
UACGUAGGCAGCAAGCGUUGUUCGGAGUUACUGGGCGUAAAGGGCGCGUAGGCGGUGCGGUAAGUCUGAUGUGAAAUCUCCGGGCUCAACUCGGAGUCUGCAUCAGAAACUGCCGUGCUCGAGUGUGGGAGAGGUGAGUGGAAUUCCCGGUGUAGCGGUGAAAUGCGUAGAUAUCGGGAGGAAGGCCGGUGGCGAAGGCGGCGCUCUGGAACGUUUCUGACACUGAGGCUCGAAAGCGUGGGGAGCAAACAGG